AUUGAACGCUGGCGGCAGGCCUAACACAUGCAAGUCGAACGAGUGGCGGACGGGUGAGUAAUGUCUGGGAAACUGCCCGAUGGAGGGGGAUAACUACUGGAAACGGUAGCUAAUACCGCAUACCAUCGGAUGUGCCCAGAUGGGAUUAGCUAGUAGGGUGGGUAACGGCUCACCUAGGCGACGAUCCCUAGCUGGUCUGAGAGUCUGACCAGGCACACUAGAACUGAGACACGGGCCAGACUCCUACGGGAGGCAGCAGUGGGGAAUAUUGCACAGUGGGCGCAAGCCGGAUGAAGCCAGGCCGCGUGUAUGAAGAAGGCAGUCGGGUUGUAAAGUACUUUCAGCGAGGAGGCGUGACUCGCAGAAGAAGCACCGGCUAACUCCGUGCCAGCAGCCGCGGUAAUUC
rnacentral:rRNA from 1 species